UGUGAGCUGUCACUUGCUUUUCAAAGCGUAGUUUCGUCUCUAUCUUCUUAGUCGGUGAUCUUGCAUGAGGAUAACAAAAAAACACAGCAACAAUGAACAAGGAAUAUAAAUAACAUUUUAAAUAUGGAGAACAAGUCGGAAGAGGAGCCAGAAUGGGCGAUCAAGGUGACUUCAGACAA